GUCUGUUUUCUCAUUCUUCCCUUUCAACCUUCCUCCAUCUUAGUUAUUUUUGACUCCAUCACGACAGUUUUUUUUUGAGGGCGGGGGCAUGACUAAAAGAAGGACUACAAAACCUUGUAGAGUCAUUCCUGACUAGUUUCUCUAACCUCACACCUCUCAUUUGUGAAUCAGGAAAUCCCAAGCAGGGUACCUUCAAAAUACAGACACACCCAGGCUUCCAGCUCUAGGUAACCUAAUAAACUGCCCCAGGAUUCAGCUUUCAAAGCUGGGAAACACUUCAGAUAAUGGUUGAAACCAGAGGGAACCUGGACCGUCAAAGCAACAACGACACCACCACCACAGACACAUUCAGAGACAGACAGGGAACCUCGACCGUCAAAGCAACAACGACACCACCACCACAGACACAUUCAGAGACAGACAGGGAGCAGAAGAGACGAAGCGUAUGAAAGGGACUGGGAAGCAGAUGUGUGUUUCAUAUCAGUUUUAUCAGCCCUGAGACUGGAUCACCAACGAAAUGACUAACAAGGCAGGAAAAUGGGUAUGAAAUCAGCAUUUGCUAAUUAACUGGCA
rnacentral:lncRNA from 1 species